rnacentral:rRNA from 1 species
CCUACGGGAGGCAGCAGUGAGGAAUAUUGGUCAAUGGACGCAAGUCUGAACCAGCCAUGCCGCGUGCAGGAAGACGGCUCUAUGAGUUGUAAACUGCUUUUGUACGAGGGUAAACGCAGAUACGCGUAUCUGUCUGAAAGUCUCGUACGAAUAAGGAUCGGCUAACUCCGUGCCAGCAGCCGCGGUAAUACGGAGGAUUCAAGCGUUAUCCGGAUUUAUUGGGUUUAAAGGGUGCGUAGGCGGUCGGAUAAGUUAGAGGUGAAAUCCCGAGGCUCAACUUCGGAAUUGCCUCUGAUACUGUGCGGCUAGAGAGUAGUUGCGGUAGGCGGAAUGUAUGGUGUAGCGGUGAAAUGCUUAGAGAUCAUACAGAACACCGAUUGCGAAGGCAGCUUACCAAUCUAUAUCUGACGUUGAGGCACGAAAGCGUGGGGAGCAAACAGGAUUAGAUACCCCAGUAGUC